rnacentral:rRNA from 1 species
GACGAACGCUGGCGGCGUGCUUAACACAUGCAAGUCGAACGAAGUGGCGGACGGGUGAGUAACGCGUAAUCAACUUGCCCUUCAGAGGGGGACAAUAGUUGGAACCAGGUCCUAAUACCGCAUACUGCUGGAUGGACUUGCGGUGCAUUAGGUAGUUGGUGAGGUAAAGGCUCACCAAGGCCACGAUGCAUAGCCGAGCUGGGAGGGUGGUCGGCCAAAAUUGGACUGGGACACAGCUCAGGCUCCUAAGGGAGGCAGGAGUUGGGAAUCUUCGGCAAAUGGGGAAAGGCUGGCUGCGCAACGGCGGGGGAGUGAAGACGGCCCUCGGGUUGUAAAGCUCUGUUAAUCGGGACGCGGUACCGGAAUAGAAAGCAACGGCUAACUACGUGCCAGCAGCCGCGGUAAUAC